AAUCUUUGUAACUGAUGUGGACAUGAAUAUGCCGCCUGUGUGUGGAGCACAUCUUUUUAGUUUUAAACGACGAGCUGUUUCAUGUUGGCGCAGGAGUAAUAGGAGCCGCGGCGUGACAGCCAGGCCUGAGGCGACCCAGAAAUGUGCCUUCUUGGAACUUCCUUCUCAUUCCUUGGGCAUAAGAACAGCGGUGCAGCGCAGGCUAGACUCCAAAACCAACAGUUUUGGAAAUAUCUGUUACAUUUGCAUCCCAAAUAUUCAGAAGAGCUUGCAUGAUGUUCUUAUUUGGGUUGACAGGGUUUCAUUUUUCAUUCUUCGUGCCUCUUGUGUUUUCUUGUCAUACUUGGCUGUUUUUGUGUUGACUUAUCUCAUUGACACACAGGAUGGGUAAUUUUGGGCAGCGUAGAUGUCUGACUGCAAACAACAUGUACAACUUAGAGUCCGCGCAGGAAUGGCGUAAACAUGGUUUCCGAUUGAGGCAAAUUCCUGUGGUCAUGUCGCCACUUUUAAUGUUGACUUUUUUCUCCAAUACACCUUCUUCUUCUUCUUCUUUCAUCGCUAUGUGGAAAAAACACUUAAAGAGAACCUAUUAUGCUCAUUCCCAACACUUAUUUUUAUUCUUGGACUCUACUAGAGUAGCCCUGCAUGAUUCAGAGUUCAAAAUAAUCCCUUGUUUUAAUACUGUUCAGGCUCUCAGUUCAACUAGUGGAAUAAGCUAUUUUAACUCCCUUUACGUUAACUUUCUGCUGAUUGGUAGCCCCUCACAAGCAAAGGAUUUGGACGGUGGUGGGGCUUCGGUGUUAUUCAUAUGACCAGGACAUCCACAUUUAUUCACAUUAUAAAGAGCCAUGACUAGAAAAUAACCUGCCUGAAACUGAGUGUUUGGAGCAGUCUGAAGCCCGAGCUCGUGGCUCAUUGGCUCAUCACUCUAACAUAUUAUAAUAUUAAAGAAAAGAAGAGUGUCACACACCUCUUUAAUUGCUCUCUUUUAAAUUUAAUGUUGUCUGCAAAUGUCUUUGACAGAAAAGUCUAAUAUGUUUGAGUAAAUUAAAUCUUAAACAGUUAAACCACACAUUUCCUUUUACUCUGAAUCGCAUCUCCUUGUGAGGGACCAAAAAUCUGUGGGCAUCCUCUUUGUGGGAUAAUGCCUAAUACAAAAAUGUGAAAGAAGCCAUGCCUUCUCUGUUAUAAGUUAAUAAAAAUUCCACCUACAAGCACCUCAUAUAAGUGAUAAAAGACUAGUUUGUUAGUUUCAAAGGGCUAAUGUGUGAUUUCUUGGCAACCUCAAGUCUUCUUGUUAUCGUCCAGUUUCUAACAAGGUAUGAGUCUGACACAAAAUACCUUUGUUUACCUAAUCCUUUCUGUACAGCUGUAAUUGAUGGAGAUAAAACGAGCUAAUUACUGAGCUGACAGGCCGAGUCAUAUUAGCCACGUUCGCGUUUCCAAUCUUUAUGCAAAGAGACUUUAACCAUUAGGGUGUGUGCCAGCAGGAUCUGAAAGCCACUCAAAUCUAGAGCAAACACUGCAAACAAAAGUGUCGAGGCGAUCAAAAGCGGAGCAGGCAUUUCUUGUGUGCCCCUCUUUAAAAGAAAAUAAAUAAAUAAAUAGAGAGAAGGAACCUUCUUGACCUGCUUUCAGCCAAUCAGCCCUUGACAACAGGCUCAACCUGAGCAAACAGUGAGGAAAGUAAUCAGCUUUCACAUAACCCUGAUAGUAACUAUCUCCUCAGAGUUAUACAUCAGCUGGUAUUGAUUAAUGUGAUGAUGUUGUUGCCGUCCAGCACCGUGGCGUAGAGAUGACUGCACUGGUGUUUUCCAGCUUUUAAACUUUGCUUGUAACUUAUGUGCAUAAGUGCUUAAUUAGCAGUUUUCCUCCUCAGUUAAUAAUUAUAUCUAUAACAUGUAAGAAAACUGCAAGGAAAAUCAUCACAUUCUGGCAUUUUAGAAAAUGUGGCAGUAUUUUCACAUUUUUGCUUUCGAAAUGACUGCAGAGAUAAUUGCAUUAACACAGACAAGUCUGAUUAAUUUUCCGUCAAUCUACUAACCGAUCAAUCACCUAAUCAUUUCAUCCCUAAACUGAAUUAAAACAAGUUGCGUCACAGCUCCUGGCUCCAGCUGCACGCUCACCCUACAGACACAGGAAUGGUAUCAAUCUUCUCAUCUAACUCUUGGCCAGAAAGAAAGUGCGCGUGCUUCUCAAAAAUGCCGAGCUAUUUCUUUGAAAGCUCAGGGUGCUCAAAACAAACCAGUUCAUUCAAACACGCGUGCGCCAACGCAUAUAAUGAAUAUAAAUGGAGGACUUGAGAGAUACAGUAUAUGCUCAUCGCCAACAAUUCUCAGUUUCCUUUUCCCACCACCUACAUUUGGAAAGGUGUGUACGCCUGUAUGGCUCCAUUAAAAGGUAUCGGUUUUAAUCAUACUUAAAAGUGAUUACGUGGAGCUACAGCACAGUGAGCCUGUUCUUAUUUGGAAAUAUUGACACAACAAUGAAUCACAGACUCAUAUCCUCUCAGUUUUCUCACGUCUGCUGACAUUUCAAACUGUGCGAAUAAUUGCCAAAUUGUCUCGGGCUGUAUUAAGCCAGGGGAGGAUACAAAUGCCUUUAAGCAACAUCAGCUGAGGAGAUGUAGAGGCAACGCUGCUUAUCUUACCAACAAAGCCUUAGAAACAGUUACACUUGUUUCAUAAAUCAACUUGUUAAAAAGCACAUGCACAUAAGAGAAUAAGCACUCCCAUUUUCCUAAAAGCUGUACGGGAGGAUGGUGGUGGAAGGGGGUGGGUCAGGAGGUGAUGGAGUUUGUAAGAUAAACUUGGCUAAACUUUGUCAGUGUACGAAAUUCCCCUCAUCAGACCCCAGCCUGCCAUCCUCCCCUCUCUACCCAUCCGUAUCCAACAGUGUGCAAAGCUAACAAAGCCAGUAUUUAAAAAGCUAUUAAAGAACUACACAACUUCUUUCAUCAUUUAAAAUGUCAAAAGCUUGAAUAAGCAUCCCGUUUAUACAAUGAGCAAUCCCUCCAGGAAUAAUUCUCAGAAUUUCAGCCACUCUUCACAUCAUUUGUGCGAGUUUGCAGUUUUGCCUGCAGGGUGCUUGUAGAUUUUAUCAGCUACUGCAUCUCAAAUACAAAUAAUCCAAUUCAGAAUCACCGCUAUAAGCUGAGCUCAAACUAAAAUGGAAGGUAAGUUCAUGCCUAAGGGUCUUGCGGUCUGUUGGAUUUUGGAAAUCUAAGUCAUGCGUCAACUCCAGCAAACACUACCAUUUAAAUGUUUAGAUUAUAUGUAACUUUUAAUUUAAACGGGGACCUAUUUAGGAGACUUCCUCGCUUUCUAUCAGAUAUAUGCACUCACGAGACACUUCAUUAGUUAUUCUUUGCUAGUAGUUGGUUGGAACCCCUUUUGCCUUCAGAACUGCUUUCAUUCGCUACAAAUUCAAAAAGCUGCUGGAAACAUUCCUCAGAGAUUUUAGUUCAUAUUGACUUGAUAGAAUCACACACUUGCUGCAGAUUUGUUGACUGUACAUCCGAGAGGUGCACUGUUGGAUAGAGAUCUGGUGAUUGUGGAGGCAAUUUGAGGAUAGGGAACUCAUUUAAAGAAAUAGCCUGAGAUGAUUUGAGCUUUGUGAUGUGGUGUGUUAUCCUCCUGGAAGCAGCCAGAAGAAGACGGGUACACUAUGGUCAGCAACAGUACUCAGACUGUGGUGUUUAAAAAAUGCUCAGCUGGUACUUGAGGGGCCCAAAAUAUGAAAAUGUCUGCCACACUGAUACACCACCACCACGAGGCUGAACUGUUGAUACGAGGCAGGAUGAAUCCAUGCUUUCAUGUUGUUUGCACCAAAAUACUGACCUCACCUUUCAAAUAAAGACACAUCAGACCAGGCAACAUUUUUCCAAUUUUCCAUUGUCCAAUUGUGGUGAGCCUGUGCAAACUCUAACCCAAGUUUUCUGUUCUAAGCUGACAGCUAAGCAGUGAAAAAGGUAUCAUGACUCCUACUUGACCAAGCAUAAUGUUAUUGGCUUGUAUUUUUCUAAGGUGGUAUAAUGAAACAUAUUACACCGUAUUUUGCUAGCACACUGACCGAGAUUCAGUGAUCAGGGACAAUGACUUUAUUGCUUUCCAUCGCCACAACUGACAGAACCAAUAUCAUCUUUCUGUUGGCUCACUUGUGUGUGUGUGCGCGCUCCAAAAUGUUGUGUGUUACAUUCAUAAAACUACAAGAGAGAAUGCAAAAAAACCCAAACAAAAACUGGGCAUACUGCAGUCUUUUUGACAGGAUGCUGUCUGACGUCCAAAAUAUUGUGACGUCUGCCUGGGUUUCUAUUAUUCAGCUGACAUAAUGUUGUCUGAUUGUGUCAGAAACACCAGCUGUAAUAUUUUAAUAGUAUUUAUACUCUUCUCCCUGCUGUAGUUUUUGUUAAAUCACUGUAAAAUAACAAGAACUAAAAGGUCAGACUUUGCACAACUUUCAAGUGAUCUUGACAGGAUCCUUGUGGGACUAAAUACGGCAUGUGGGAAAAUCACAGUCUUGAUCAUUUUCUUAAAAUCUGGUAAAGCUUAAAUCUUCAUUGUGUUUUCAGUUUCCUUCUGAGGUUCUCUCGUCAGUCUUGUCAUAUAGUUAGAUUAGUAAUGAAGCUUUGGGCAUUCUUUGUUGGCAAAAUAGCAGCUCUUAAAGAGCAGGCCACAUUUCCAGUGUUGAUACUGUUUCACAGAGUUAUGAUCUCAGAUCACACACAUGAGAACGUAUAUUAGUCUUUUGCUCAUGGACAUUUUCAUACUAAGCCACACACAGACACAGUGUCUUCAGAAAUGCUGAUAUAGUUAAUUUUGACAGGUAAUGCACAAUGAUCCCUGAAAAAUCCUAACUAAAACAGUCAUUCAUUAAGGUUUUGGAAUUGUGACUCGGUCGUAUGGCAGUUUUUCCACCCAGUCUCAUGCUGGAGGGAAUUAGGUAGGUAAACAUUAAAAUUUGGAAGUUGGCUCUAAAACUAGAAGCCAAGAAUUGUUUACUCUAUUACAUUAGGAGGACUCAUUUGGGAAGACUUUGCUAGGGAAACGCAACUCCCCUGCAGAUAUUAUACCUUUAGUGUCAUUUUGACAAACAUUUCAGUCGUAGUUUGGUGAAAAGCGGUGGGACCUGCAUUAAAAACCUCUACCUGGCCGUCACCAAAUUUUGUUCUUUUCUAACAGCUGCCACGGCAUUGAAUUCGGGCUAAGACAGACAUGUUGUGUGUUAGGCAUCAAGAUAAUUAACUGGUCACAGUCAGGUUUUCCUGGAAAUUGACUGUAUUAGUGAGUCUAUUCUCUUAUUCUCGCCUUUUCCCUUUAAUUUUUUCCCCCCGCUUGGCAACUGUCACACAGAAAGCUUUGAAGUGGGUGUAAAUAAGAAGACAUGCAUGCUUAAUGAGCACGAGUAAAAAUGGCUUAAUACUUGUUUUCGCGAUGUAGCUCUGCUUACCGAACUGAACGUCGAGGCAGCGUGACUGCUUAAUUAAGCUGCCUGUUAACACAAAGAGGCCAACAGUGACAUUUGCUGUGGUGACGGUCACAUCAUAUCUGAUUAACUUCAAGUUGUCGUUUGAAAGAGUCCCAAACAUCUGCAACUAAACGCUUAUUUUCACCUCCCGAUCUCACUUGUAAAACUAAAUAUCCUACUGUGACUUGCCGAGCAGAUGUAAUGAGCCGAGAUCAAAUACUGAAAGUCAUUCACAGACGCUGAUAUGUGAAAGGGCCAGAGAGUGAAAAGGAGAAAGGAAAAAAACAAGAAGUGAGGAAUGGUCUUCUGCUUUCAGAUUUACAGCCGCGGGGUCACCAGUAGAGUCGGAGCUGGAGCAGAGUGGUGCAGAACUCGCCUCCUCCUCCUUCCCUGCCUCCCUCCCUCCUGGCCUCCUUAGCCUCCUAUGCUCACACCCAAUUUUUUGGCUCUUUGUUACUGUAUAUAGGUCACACUGUGAUCGUGUGUAUAUACAGGUGAAUUUAUUCUCCUUCCCAGCAAGCAUAUGGAAAGAGGUACUCAAAACAUUUCCUAGAAGUAACUGAACAGAAGAACAAUGCUGCAUUUGAAGCAAAGGUCAUGCCUUCGUGUGUUUUAGAGGAGAACUCAUUCUGAACAGAUCCUCACUGUAAAAAAUCAAAAUAAUGCAUUCAUUGUGUCAUGUAUAGAUUUUUAUUUGAGUGUUUACGUUAAAGUAAAACGUGUUUUAUGAGCUACUUUUAUGGUUUUUUUAUGUAAAACUCUUUACUUUAACUUCUUGCCACACACCUACAGCACUAGGAACAUUUCUAGAAUUCUAACGACAUCUGUGUGCAUGUAUGCAUGCGAGUGUCAACUCGGCUAAGCUCAGCUAUGUUGUCAUCAUUUAAAGAAUUUAUACAGUACAUUUAAGGAAUCAUCCCAAGCAGUGCAUGUCUUUUAUUUGCAGAGAAGGAGCGACGGUUAUAAAGCAAUAUUACAUUUUUUCCAUGUCUUUGUUCUUGGCACAACAAACAGCAACGCUGCAGUGAGUCAAUUUUAUCAUCGCAAAUAUGUGAUAAGAAUAAUAUGAGGAAUAGCGCUUAUUUUUUUAAAUAGAUUAAACAGGACAGUUUUCCAUCGCUUCUCACAGCCUCUGUAACAAAAUGUAAUGCUUGAGCGUGCGUGUGAAUAAAAGUGCGUUUGCCCCCACUAGCUUACCUGAGCUCCCCGUGAAAAGCGAACACAAUCUCAGCCUGAGCAGAAAGGCAGGAUGUUUUUGAUGAAGCAGUGGGCUUAAUUUAGGCCCAGGCAUUCUCAGUAUCUGUCACCUAACUCCCAGUGAUCUCAACACACAGUGUAGUUGUGCGCAUGUGUGUGUGUGUCGGUUUAUGUUUAUCCACAGAGGCAGGCUAUAAAUUCAAGAAAUGUACACCGACAUUCGGCCCCCCUAUAAACUGUAAUACCUCCCAAAUAUAAAGACAACGUCAUACCCAUUCCCCGUUUUAUUUUGCUAGUAAUAAUGGAGCAAAUAAAAACCGCAGCUUUACAACAGACACUACUAUGAUAGUGUCUCUCUGAUAGGAUUUUAUUAUGAAUUAUUAAUACUGGCUAUUAAAAAAUAAUCCCAUUAACUCUGCCAAAUGCCCCAAAAUCUUGAUUUCUUCUUCUAAAGAAGCUGGCUUGGUUAUAGCUCCUGCUUGGCCAUUAAGUAACCAAACAGGCGUAGGCAUUGCCAGCAAACCAGCAAAAGCAAAAAGCGAGUGCCAGCAACCUCUGCCAAAGACUUCAGCUUGCACCCAGUGUUCUUCUCUUACUGGUACACAGAGAAAUGAUCUGCCUACUUCUUCGAAUUGUACAUUUUUCUAUCCCUGUAUGGAUUUUUUUAAAAAUUAAAAAAUAUUUUAAGAAUGAAAACCUUUUGUUGCAAGCAGAAAGAUUUAAGAGAAAUUAUGUAGAUUCUUGUUUUUUUGAGCAUGUACGUUUGCUGAUAUGGGCACGUGGAUUUGCUCCUUCUUGGCCAUUAAGUAACCAAGCAGGCGUAGGCAUUGUCAGCAAACCAGCAAAACUAAAAGCCGAGCUCCUACAAACUGUCAGUGACUUUGUUUUGCACAGAGUGUUCUUCUCUUUGCUGGUACAUAAAUAAAUUUUCUACCCUUUGAGUUUAAGACAUUUUCCAGUCUGCAUGGAAAAUGUUCUUAUUCAUAAUACUGACAAGCCUCUGUUUUUAAGCAGCUGCAUAACGUAAUUAUAUGGAUCUCCAUUUUCUAGCUCUCUCUCCAUCGUUGCUGGAUGAGCAUGUACAUUUUUGAAAAUCACAAAAGAGGACCUUGCGACGUCUGACCUCGAGCUUGGCGUCACUUUAAUGCGGCAUUAAACGAACGUGCUCCAUCUCGUCAAACGACUGCACGGAGAGCUAGGAGGAGAUCUCUGUGGUCGUCAUGCACCCAUAACGAAUGGAAAGACAAGAAGACCACACAGCAGCAUGGUCAGAUCAGGUUGUCAGAGACCAUAUAUAAAAUCUGGGUCAGGGUCCAGGCCGUAACCUCGCUCUCACUAUGGCUCCGCUCUCGCUUCUCUGUACCCGAUUCCACCUUCGUCCCACGACUCUAUCUUUGUGUUUUCUCCCUCUUUUAGUUGAAUCGCUUCACCCACUUUCCACAUCCACGUCUUUAUGCAUUUCAUUCCCUGUCUCAACCUACUCGGCCCGAGCAAUCCAGGCAGGCAGGCUGUUUGUGCUGAGCUACAUGGCAUCUUUAGAUUAUAUUAAAUUUAUUGUGAAUUCAUGGCAAUGAACGAUGCAUUUAAAUACAAUAAUGGCAAAAAUCUAAAUUUGUGAAUUGUUGAGAUAAUAGUGAAACUAUAUUAUAUUAUAUUAUAUUAUAUAUGUAUAAUGCUGCAUUUUUUUCUAGAAAUACCAGGGCCAGAAGACAGCAUGUCAUUUUUAGAUGUCAACUAGGGAACUGGCUUAGUACCUCUCCUCUUUCUUUCCUUUUUUUUGGGACAUUUUUGAUUAUAACAUCUGAAAGAAAAACCACAAUGGUCCCUUUGUUGGAGAUGAAAGUGUUUCCAGUGUUUUUAACUCUUAAUGAUUUCUCUGUGUUGUUUGCUUUUAGGAAGUGAAGAAGCAUUUGAACCAGAAAACGGAUAAUUACAUCAAACUUAUUUAUUUAUUGUAAAGUAGAACAAAAGAAUGAAAAAAAAUUUUUUUACUUGUUAUUUGCUGUUUUACCCACACACGAGUUAUGUUCUGAAACCACUUUUAGUACUUUGAAAAAGAUACUUGAGAACAGCACCCAUAUUUUAAAGACAUACUCUGUAUUCUGAGAUAAGCCUCGUGACCUUUGAUAUGUGAUUGAUGUGUUUGGACUUGUUUUGUUUACCGUAGCACACAGAAAUUAUACUUUGCUGCCUAGCAGGCAUUUUCAUCUAAGAGCUACGUGAGUUCCUCUUCAUAUUGCUACUGGGUCCAGUUUCUGUUUAUCGGGGAACAUUUCCUCACAUAAAUCACCCGCUCUUUAAAAAUAAAUCCCAAAAAACAUACCUUUUCUUCUAUUUUGACUGUAUGUGCAUUAAACAUAUGGGAUAUAAAUUUUAAAAAUAUACAUUUUUGACUUUGUCUAAUACAUAUUUUACAGAGCUAAGCUGGCUGCUAACCCUUGUUUUAUAAUACUGCUACUUAAACUAAAUAUAUCAAUUUCAGAAUUAAGUAUAGCAACUUUUAAGUCAAUUCCUUGUCAGAUAUUAUUAUUAAUCUUUUAAUUUGUUUUGUGUACUUUUAGAAAGUUGAAUAGAAAGAGCCAGAGAUAAAAAUUUAAGAGGUGCCACAUAGUUGCCUAUUCUCUAAGGCAGACCUGGCAGGCCUGCAGCAGCUCUAACAGUGGCCUUGCUGCCAUUAAUAAUGGGAAAAUGGCAAACACUGUACAAAUCAACUGGCAUGAAUCUCUGUGCUUCUCUACAGCACAGUCUCUCUGAACCUAUUGUGGAGCUAACAUGGCUGCCAGCAAUAAGACAUGAUGACAUUUAUCCUGCUUUCUUGCUGGAGGCCUCCCAGUAAGGAGUUCUUGUGAACACAUCUUCCGAGUGACAUGGAGACGGGCCUGCAGCCACCAGCGGAGCUGAGCCGCUUUAGAGCCCUGCUGAGACCUGCCAGGCCCACAGCUUUCCCUGCCAGGGGCCUCGCUCGAAGUCAAAGUCUACGGUUUUGUCCCUGACGUCCUUUGACCACUCUUUGGCCUUGCCCAUGAUUGUGGAAGGGAAGAAACUGAAUCUGAUCCAGAGUCUUUGUUGGUUGAUGCAUCAGACAGAUGAACUGACUGCUGUGAAGAGAGUAAAAUACCUGCAGAAGGAGUGUCGGAUCUUUUUUUUGUUGUUAUUUUUAUUCUUGUAUUUAAAAGAUCUGUGUAGCUCUCAGGGAUGUAAAAGGGAGUCUGAGCUGUAACAGGAGUGUGUGUGUGUGUGUGUGUGUGUGUGUACACAUGUGUGAGUUUGAGCACACUGUGUGUAUGUGUGUGAGAUUAGAGAAGGGCAAAGAGUUGAGGUGGUGUUUGAUGCUAGUCUCAGUGGCAGGCUUAAAAAAAAAACAAAACCUGUCACUCAGCUUCUCUCCACGCAAUGCAUACACACACAAACACACAUGUGACCACCCGCAUACACUACACUCACACAAUCUGGCUCUCCAGCACAGACAUAGACUUCUAGCAGCAACACCUCUGACCAUGUAAAACCUCUCUCCCUGUGCAGGCACACACAUGCAACUUUAUAGGCACACACACAGAACAGUUCUAAGCAUACAAAUAAACCAAGUCAAUUCAGCGUAUAAUCGGUGUAUCGUAAAGGAUCAAUUCCUGCAGAACACGCACAUGUACUGGAGUACACAUUCACAGACAUACAGACUUACUGUAUGGAUGCUGUACUCUUGUGUGUAAUCGUAAAGUAAAUAGGGUGCUAAGUAAACACCUAACUCAGCAACUUAUUCUCUUUGUCACGUACACACAUUUAUCCAGCACCCUAGCUGGGAGAUCUCGCUCUUUCCUUUACAGUAGGCCAUUUCUUUCAACAGAUUUAUCACCGGUGUUGCACAACCUAUUCGAUUAUCUGUGUCUGUGUGCCCUUCGUGAGAGAGUGACCAACUGAGCUUCUGUGAUAGUGUCUCUGCGGGUGUUUGUGUGUAUCAGAGGGCCGUAGGCUCAAGCUAUUAAGAUCAGUAUAGUGGUGAGAUAUGUGAUCUGAGGGAUGCUACUUCAGAGAAGUGAACAAAGCAGAUGCUGUUCCAGAGAAGAAACUGCACAAGGCCAACAUACAAACCCUGGGGGACCCCUCUACAGUGCUUUGGAGCAACUAUUGUAUUUGGCUGAAUGUAUGAACGCCAACAGUUUAAUCUAACACAGUAUAAAGGACUGCCAAGAAAA